GAAAUGCGAUACGUAGUGUGAAUUGCAGAAUUCAGUGAAUCAUCGAAACCUUGAACGCAUCUUGCGCUUGCAGGUCCUCCUGCAAGCAUGCCUGUUUGAGCGUCGCCACAUCCAUCAUCCUUCAAACCCAACCGUUUGAUCAGGAUGGUGCUGGCCGUCAGAUUCAGUUCCUGAGCUGUCGGCUGAAAUCGGUGGCAGGGAACCCGCAAGAGAUCUACGAUAGUGCAAUUGGCGCGCCCUGUGCGUGAUUUCAGCACUGCCUGGUUCUCGCAGGGACCUCUCUGCAGCGCUCCGCCCCCGGGCGGAACCCAAAACCCAUCGACCUCAAAUCAGGUAGGGAGACCCGCUGAACUUAA
rnacentral:misc_RNA from 1 species